AUUGAACGCUGGCGGCAUGCUUUACACAUGCAAGUCGAACGGCAGCGCGGGCUUCGGCCUGGCGGCGAGUGGCGAACGGGUGAGUAAUGCAUCGGAACGUGCCCAGUAGUGGGGGAUAGCCCGGCGAAAGCCGGAUUAAUACCGCAUACGACCUGAGGGUGAAAGCGGGGGACCGAAAGGCCUCGCGCUAUUGGAGCGGCCGAUGUCGGAUUAGCUAGUUGGUGGGGUAAAGGCUUACCAAGGCGACGAUCCGUAGCUGGUCUGAGAGGACGACCAGCCACACUGGGGACGGGAAACGGGCCCAGCCCCCAAGGGGGGGCAGGGGGGGGAAUUUUUGGAAAAGGGGGGCACCCCUGCCCCGCCCCUGCCGGGGGGGGAAAAAAGGCCUUGGGGUUGGAAACCGUUUUUUUUGGGAAAAAAAUCCUCUGGGUAAAAACCCGGGGGGGAGGAGGGUACCGGAAAAAAAAGCCCCGGCUACCUACUG
rnacentral:rRNA from 1 species